GUUCGAGUGAGCAAUGAACUAGGGGCUGGCCAUCCAAAGGUUGCAAAAUUUUCAGUGUUUGUAGUGAAUGGGACUAGCAUUAUUAUCAGUAUAAUUUUUAGUGCUAUUGUGCUGAGUUUUCGAGUUGGAUUGAGCAAACUCUUUUCAAAUGACUCUGAGGUUAUAGAAGCAAUUUCCGAUCUUACUCCUCUGCUUGCCAUCUCUGUUUUCCUCAAUGGUGUUCAACCUAUACUCUCAGG
rnacentral:misc_RNA from 1 species